GCGGCUGCGACAGCGGCGCGGAGCCGCGCUUUAUAUCGGCUGGGAGGCGGGAGAGCGGGAGGGGGACCCGGCAUCACUCCAGCCUCCAGCCAACCAAAAGCUGCUCAGGCAGCGCCCCUGAAGAUGAGAGCUUAGGAAAAAACAGGCUCGUUUCCAGCGACGUGUGGAGCCUGCUGAUGAACCGCCGGCGGGUGGGAGAGCGAGGGACAGGACAGACGCUGCAGCCCUCGCCGACAGUCGUCAGCUCCAUCCUGCUGCUCCAUCCCGCUGGCCCAGGGCUUCCAAAGCUCCCCGCACUUCCCGCUCUGCCCCAGUGGUUAAAGCAGGGGGUGGCAGCAGGGUCAGCAGGGUUUGUGCUUCCUGGGGGGAUGCAGAUGGAGUAGGAGGGUUUCAUGUUUUCACUUUCCUUCUUAAUGGCACUGCCAGUUCACAGCUGGAAUAUAUAAGGACAAUGUCUGGCUUCAUGUGCUGGCUGAAGUUGCACUUCUUCAUCACAAAUUCCCUGCUGGGUGUGUGGUGAGAGGAGGGAAGGGAAGGGAUGCACAUCAAAGGAGCCAAAACCUGGGAAAGCAUCUGAUAAUGGAGGAUCCUGAUGAGACCUGGAAAUUGAAAGGAGAUUAAAAGCCAGGGAGAGGUUGGAAACUGGAGGGGAAGGACUGAGCCAGCAAAAGAGAAAGGGUUAAACCAGUGCACACCAGCAAACCCCAGGGUCUGGUGCUACAAGAGCCAGAGGUCCAUGAGGGACCAACAGGCCCCGUGGUGAGGUCAGGCUCACACAGGAUCCCAGAGCUGCCCUCCCUGCAAUUCCCCAGCUCAGCAGCUCUGGAAGGGAGUGACCCUAACCCCCCUGCUCAUGGCCAGCCAAGCACAAGGCCACAGCUGCCACUUCCACUCCUCAUCCUCUCCCUUGCUCCCUGCUAUUCCCAGCUCAGACGUUUUUCCAGAGCUCAGGUUGUCUCCUACACUUGCUGCCUGCAUUCAUCACCCUCUGCACAUUGCCAGAGCAUCUUUCUCUUUGCCAGAGCAUCUUUCCCAGGAGAGAUGAGCUGUGCCAGGAGAGUGGCAGCACAAAGCCAUCUGGGCCCUGGGCCAGGGAGAAAGACUCCUCUCAAGCUGCCUUUGGGAGCAGAAGCAUGAGGAUAUCUGGGUGGGAGACACUGGGAGGAGCAUGAGGCACCUCAGCCCCACUGAGCAGUAAAGGAGAGUCCUGUCUUUCUCUCAUCACUUACAAGGAGCCCCAGAAUGGUCUUGCUCAUGGACAGACAGGAAGGAUACAUCAGGACUAAUGACUGAACACUCACUCUGAGCUCCUCACGUAAGAGCAGCCUCUUUCCUGAUGGCUCUGGGGAUUUUCACUCAAAUGAUCAAGCCUUCUUGGCUAGCAGAUAUUCAGUUACAGAUAAAUGGCUGGAGCUACACCAAGCUCUUAUUCAUGUCUUCUCUGUGCCUUAAAACCAAGAUCAGAGCUGUGAUCCUUGCUGUGGAUUCCAGGGAAGAAAUGGGAGAGUAAAGGAGAGAGGGCUGGAAGGUUGCCUUUGCCUGUACAGCUGCUGAGAAGGUCUGUGCACACCCACAGGAUGUCUGUGCACACCCAGAGCGGGCACAGUGCUUGGCAUCGGUUUUGGAAGUGCCACACCAGCCUGGAGCUCCACCCCAGUUCAGCACCAUGCUGGGAGCACUGGUGUCACAGCAGCAGUGGCACGUGGGGGUGGGCACGGGCUCCUGGCACCCACACUCAGCUCUUCCACUGAGUCACUGAAUGCUCAGGGUUGGAAAGGAGAUCUGGAAAUCAUGCCAAAGCAGCUUGGCACUCACCUCCCAGCUGCAGCAGAACUGCAGCCCAUCCUCCCAGCCACAGAUCUGCAAAGUCACAGGAUGCUCUGGUAACUCUCCCUGGUGUUUGAGGCAUGGUCUGAGCAGGUCAUGCCGAGAGGAAAACCUCCAGGAGCCUGGACACGUGUCACAGGCACACGGGACAGAUGAUUUCUGGCUGCAACUCCAUGGAGCCUGGCACAGCCACUGUGCUGGGAACCACGUGCUGCUGGGAGCAAAUGUAACUAUGGCAAAAACACAGCUGGGAUGGCAGCAACUGCAACUGGUGAGGAGCCUGGGGGAUGUGAGCCAGAGCAGAGAAACUCUGCACAUCUCUGCCUUGAGAUUACAGCCUGCUGAGCCCCUCUCUUGGCUUCAGGCCAUGUUUCCCUGCCGCUUUUCCCCAGAGAAAUAAAGUGUA